UUUGCUUGAGAAAUUUUAUUCACUUUCACCAGGAUACUAUUCUUGGUGUUUUGACAGAUUUUGAUCAAUACCAUGAGAAUGUGCUCUUAAUAUUAACGUGAUGGAGUUUUGGUGUUUUAACAGAACAGCAGGAGAUAUGGGACUUUCUCAAGGCAAUUGAGAACAAAUGUCUUCAGACCAGAAAUAGCAUCUGAAUCUCAGACCAAACGAGAGACCAUGUCAGAUCCAUGGGGUGUGCAGACUAAAGG